AGCCCACGCCCCUGCACAAAGUCUUUUGCCUUUUGUUGGCAGUCAUUGUGAAUAAGAAUUUGUUCUUAACUGACUUGCCCAGUUAAAUAAAAUAAAUACAAAAUUGUGACAUUUUGGCCUUACCCAGGCCUCCUUUAAUAGUAAAUAUUUCAGUAGAUGCUACAAAGCAACAUUUGGUGUCAUAUUCAACUUUACUGCUUGCUCUGUAAUAUGAGUAGUAUUUUGAUUGCAAUAACACAUUUCUUACCUUCUUUUUACACGCUUCAGCACUCGGCGGUCCUGUUCUGUGAGCUUGUGGGGCCUACCACUUCGCAGCCGUUGUUAACCACUUCGCAAAAAUGCUGUUGAGCAGGGCAGAUAUGUGAUGAACUGACUUGUUGGAAAGGUGCCACAUUGAAAGUCACUGAGCUCUUCAGUAAGGGCAUUCUGAUGCAACUGUCCCUAUGGAGAUUGCAUGGCGGUGUUGGCAAUUGUAUACAACAGGUGUGGCUGAAAUAGCCAAAUCCAAUAAUUUGAAGGUGUCCAUAUACCUUUGUGUAUAUAUAGUGUAUUAUUUCCAGUGUUUAUAGCAUAAAGGCCUGGGGGGGUUGUGUAAUUCAAAUAAAAACAGAGGGGAAGAGGUGAACGUUAGGCGAAUUUGUAAGACAUGACAUUGCAAGAUGCAGAUUACCAAAACAGAGCACGCUUCUGCCUUCUGCUUCUCUUGUUCACGCUGGCCUGCCCACUGUCUCUUCGCUAAUGCUGCUAAUGUGUGUUCAGUCUUUGGUCUGUUGCGUGUAGAAAAUCCUAGUCAAUUCAUGGCACCGAUUUCUAUGGUCAGUCUUGCGGGCACGAGGUAGUCUACACGAUUUUUUUUUGUCUCAUAUGAAAUUAUAGUAGUCUUCCGGUAGCCUGUAUCGAUUACGCUUUUCAGACAUAAUGGAAUGUUGCCACUUCAAAUCCCGUCGUCUACUGCAUGUUUGUUUCUCUGUCUGUUAGGCUAGGUAUUACACUACGGUUAUUAAAAUACCGUCACGAAACUUUAUCUGGUGAUAUGAACGGUAUUUUAUUUGUCUGUAAAGGAAUGCCGCUUCUGAAGCAGGAUAAAAAUUCAUCACUAUUUAACCAGAACUAUCAAUCAAAUAAUUGCUGCCUGCACGCAGUCCACUCUCCUAAAAAAAUCACUAACGUUUGUUAAAUACCGUGAUUUACCGAGACAUUUUCUAAAAAUAAAACGCAUCUAGCUACCAUACCAAAAAUAAAAAAACAGAUCAAUCAGCGAUGUUUAUUGUUGUCUGGGGAAAAAAUACUACAUUUUACACCGGAGCAUAAUUAUACUGGCUGAAAAGAUACAGACCUGAUGCGCCACUUUUUUGUUGUUGUUGUCUGAAAGGUAUCAGUUGUAGCUAUCUGUAGCUGCCUGUCAUACAUAGUUAAUAGGACCAUUAUUCUGCAUUGUAAAUUAACGUGUUAUUUUAUCAUUUUGUUCUUCUCGUUUAAACGGAAAAACGAUAUAUAAAUGGCCGUUUAAACAGUAAGCAAAAUUGUCAAUUUGUCACAUCUCUAAUUGAAAGUAUACUAUAUUUUUAUUUGGCUUCUUAUUUUUACAAAUAUUGCCAAACAUACUUUACAGGCAAAUCAAAGUUGUGGCAGUUUUACUUUAUGUCCCAUUUUAUACGGAUAAAUUGGCAAUGUAACCAAUCACAGCCCUCCUUUUACUUCUAUCAUUGCACAUCCUGCAAAUCACUAGCAGAGGGUGACCAUUUUGAAUCCAAUUUCACAUUCACUCUCUUGGAAAUCCUUAAAAAUGUCAUCAUAAAAGCAGCAGAGAUCCCACUCGAUCUUUGGUAUGCACCGACAAAUUACAUAAUAUGGAGUCUUGCAGGAGUCCUGGGUAAGCAAAAUAUCACACAUAUUCCAACAAUUCAUUUUUUUAUUAUUUAAGAUGCAUGUCAAAUAUAUGUCAACAAUACUUACUCCAAAGAACCCUUCUAUGGAUUAAAUUGAGUGAAAAUCCCCCAAAUAAUAGUUUUGUGAGGAAUUGCCCAUAAAUGUUUGACAUGUAGCCUACCUAGUGACUGCCUAUCUUCUUUUUAUAUAUAAAACACAACUGCUUUAGGGACCAACGACAAACACUUAAUCAAUAUAGGCGACUAAAACACUGAAAGCAUUGAAUUGAUUCACUUGCUUGCAGCUACUUCUGGAGUCACUGGUGUGGAUCUUCCGGAAUGUGUGGAUGGGAAGACAGGUUCCAGUAGCCUAUCUCUGGUCUGCAGAACCUUACACCAUCUUGACAAAUAAAUAAAUUAGGACGUACUCCACAGGGAAGAGAUCUGAUCCUGAACCCCAGUAGUUACUGAAAGGAGAAGCCAGUACAUUGUGGUUACAGGUUACUGUGAAUGACGACAUGAACCAUUAUAUGCUCGCUGCGCUACUUACACCCAUAUUACCAAUGUUAUUAUUACAAAUGUUUAUUUUUAUUUACAAUGUUGUAAUUUAUUGUAAAAACAAAAGGCAAUGUUGUUUAGCUAUUACUCAGGACAAUAAGAGAUCCCAUUGUAUAUCCAGAUAUUUAAAUCUUUCUACUGUUACAUUGUUCAGAGUUAGAGUGCAUUCUCACUGUGGUGCUUCAGUUAGUUUGGAGACUACUAACCCAUAGCCUACUCUUCAAUUGACUUACUUCAAAUUGAAGGAAUGUAUUUAUUUCCUUUAAAUUCAGGUUGUAUGCUAAUUCUGUAUUUUUCUACUUGAACCAAAUAGUAAAAUAAUCAUAUUUGGAGGA